GAGAUUCUGUUGGUUGUUCAGAGAUGUUGAGAGAUCAACCAGGAGACUGUGGGAGGAUGUGAGCUCUCUGAGAAGGAGAAGAAGUAUUUACAUUAGAAGUCUGAUUCACAGGUCGGGGCAAAGUGAAAAACAUCUGCACUUUUAAAAGAGAGGUCAAAAGUCCGUCUGACUCACCUGUGCUGAGUGACUUGAAUGCCAUCUAAUCUAACUUCAAGGUGAGGACAGUCUGUUCUGAAGGUCUACACAUUAAUGCUUCCUAUUGGGAAUUCAAAUCGGCAAUUUGUUCUUCUUCUGGUUGUUUGAAUCUUCAAAAUAGAGGGAAGACACCUGGAUGAAACAUUUUCACAGACUCUGCAAUUCCCUUAAGAGGAUCCCAGAGCCCUUAAGCUUCUCUUAGAUUCCUCUGAUUUUUUUCAGCCCAAGGACUGUUACCACAUGUCUUCCAUCUUGCCCACAAUUUUAGCAGAUCAUCAGGAUACUUGCCAACAAGGUCACAGUGGACUCCAUGGAGCAACUGCCCUCAGGAGGCAACAGGUGUGUGAAGAUGGCUCUUUACUUAUGAUGCUUCCUUCCCAAGAUGCUCAUUUACAUCUGAAAUGUAUUUAAGCAUUUUCCCCCCGAUACUGUAUGAUGAUGGAGAAGGUGAGCUCAACCUGUAGGCCAUAAAAAGUGGAAGGGAGGCUGCCCAAGAAAGAUAAGAAAGAUAAAUACUUGUUAAUAAAGAUGAUGAGCUGAACUCACUUUCAAAAA
ensembl:lncRNA LINC01811 long intergenic non-protein coding RNA 1811